AUAUUUAUAGUAUAAAAAUUACAUUUAAUUUCCAAUUAAAAAAUUUAAUUAAAUUUAAUAAAUAUA
rnacentral:tRNA from 2 species